UACGUAGGGUGCAAGCGUUAUCCGGAAUUAUUGGGCGUAAAGAGCUCGUAGGCGGUUUGUCGCGUCUGCUGUGAAAACGCGAGGCUCAACCUCGCGCCUGCAGUGGGUACGGGCAGACUAGAGUGCGGUAGGGGAGAUUGGAAUUCCUGGUGUAGCGGUGAAAUGCGCAGAUAUCAGGAGGAACACCGGUGGCGAAGGCGGCUCACUGGCUCAUUACUGACGCUCAGGCGCGACAGCGUGGGGAUCAAACAGG
rnacentral:rRNA from 1 species